GAACAAUUCGGAUAGCGAACAAAGUCUUGGAAUGGAUUAUGUUCGUUAACCGAUCACCCACUGUAAUUUGUGAACAGGUGCACAAAACUUUGCCAAUUGGUUGUGGCUGUUGAGAUCAAGGUUACCUGCCUCAUUGCUUGCAAUCUCGUGAAUGUAACUGCAAGAGCAUCAUCUCUGUAUCUGAUUGAUAAUUGGCCAAUUGUAUAGCCACUGUGUGCAAUGAUUUACAUUUGCAUUGGCUACUGGUAACUGUAUUGGGACUGAUGCAGCAUUACAUCUUAAUGGCAGAUGACUGAGUCCAAUCAAAUUGAAGUUUCUCAAUGAGCAUUUUUAUUGGUUCUACGGAAUAAAUUGACCCAAUAUGUGAUGAUCAGAGAUAUCGUGCAAUUUUAUGAGAAAGAUGAAUGGAAAUCAUGAGUGACAUCAUAAUGCAUAUCUCAGCAGCAUUAGACAACAUACUGCUCAGCAAAACAAUCACUCUUGUAUGUUGCACAAGUGCAAGCACACUGCAUGCAAUUAUUUGUAAAUCCUGGUUAUAUGUAGAAGAACAGAAUUGAAGGCUUUUUUGAUGUUUUUCAUUGUAUUUUGUUGUAUUCUUUUAGGUGGAGAACAAGAACAGACAAGUUCUUUGGCAGCACAUGCUUAGAUACAUUGCUCCAGGAACAACUAUAGUUUCCAACAGUGUAUCCCAAUAUCAAGGCUAUAUGGCUUUAAAACUUUCUUUCAAGAAACCCAAACCACAGUCAAUGAGCCAAGGGAGAUUUGUUGACAUUGAUGAUCCUGAAGCCCAUUCUCAAAAAUCCAGAAUCAAAUUUAAUGGCUAAAAGUCCAUGAUGAUGAUAUGAAUGGGCAGGAGUCUGCAAGUUAACAGAAGGUGCUUCAGACAGGAAUCACAUUCUAUGUCUACAGAAUGUGAUUCCUGUCUGAAGCAAUAACACCAUCAGUAUAAUUCCAGCAUUUUCUCGAGAACAUCACAGCUAUCUAAUUAGGCUCCAGUCAAAAGUGCCUCCAAUUCUUCAAGACUGGAAUGCUUACUGACUAUCUGUCAAUCAACAAGUUAUCCUAUUUCAAUGUUAUCAUGCAUGAGGAUGAUGAUGAGGAACAGCAGGGAGAGAUGACCACGUAGUGAGUGCAGUUUGUGUGUGUAGUACAUGUAACCAAUGUAAACCUGUAAAUGUAAAAUAUAGAUUAAAUGAUUUUUCAAGCAAUAUCAAGCACCUUUGUCAUCGAUCCCCAGAACCUAGUAGAAAGUUGGGCCCAAUGACUUCACCCUAUUCUUUACUGAACAUCCAGAAGAGGCCAAUUGUUGCUGGGUAGCCAGAAGACAUUGUGAAAGACAUGGAUGAAGAAAGACAUUGUCAAAAACAAUCACUACAAACUCUUAUGAGCCAUUCCUGGAAAACUAUAACUGUGUUCAACUGAGCAUUAUCUUGAUGGACAAUGGUUAUUUCAGACCAGCAAGCAGGCUGCAUGCCACUCAAAAAUAAAGACAGAAUUGAAGUUGGAUUGAAGAAUUGAAGUUUAAGAUCAUUGUUUGGCACUUCAGCUCAACAGUGGUCCAUCACACACAUACACAAUGAUCAUCCAUUCCCAAACAGAAUUGGAAUUUGUUGUUAAAGACUAGUGUUGCGCUGAUAACUGAUUGAUAAAUUGAUUUUGACACUGCAACAACACUCUAGUGCGAAUUUUCUGACAGCUGGGGAAAUUAUGAUGAUUAUUAUAUCAAGUGACCAAAAAAGUUUGUCCACAUAUUUUCCAUUAGAAUGAUACCUGAAACUUUGUGCAGUUUUCUGUUGUGUGUCAUAGUGAUCAGAUAAUAUCAGGAAGAAGAAACAGGCAGUUCAUGAAACAGUGAAGAGUGAGGAAAAAGAUGGUUAACCUGACUGCAGUUAUUCAAGAGUGCUUACUCUAUGAGUUUAAACUGGGCACUAUUGUGAUUCAAGCAUCCCACAAGAUAAGUGUAGUAUUUGGAAAGAAUACAGUGAGCCCAAAAGUGCUCAGAAAAUUUUCAUUGGAUGAUGAGGACUCUUGAAGAUGCACCUCGCAAGAGAAGACAGCAUCAUUGAUGAGGAUAAACUGAAAGUGGCCAUUGAGUUAAUGCAAGACAAACAUGAUUUAACUUUUUUGCAAACUCCUAUGUGAAUGUUAAACCAUUUGAUUGCAUUUUCAUAGCCUAGGAAAAUUCUGGAAGCUGAGCAAAUGGAUUUCAUGUGAACUGAGUGCCAAUAACAAGCUUCAGAGGCUUAUGAUCUGCUUGUUGCUGCCUUUAAAAUCCAAUAAUGAGCCAUUUUUAGACUGGUUGUUGAUGUAUGAUAAAAAUGAGUUAAAUAUGACAACACCAAAUGUUUCUAUCAUUGGUUAUUGUCCAGUGAAUCUCUACUGCAUAUGCCAAAGCCAAAUGUCCAUUGAUAGAAAACUUUUUGUUGUGUGUCUCGUAACCAACAGCUGGAAUUGCUCAUUAUGAGUUUCUUUCCCUUGGCCAAACAAUCACUGCAAAUAUCUACUCAGAACAAUUGCAAUGGUCCAAGAUGCACUGCUCCAGAAACAACCUACACUCAUUAAUUGCAAAGGUAUUGUGUUCCUUCAAGACAAUGUGUGACUCCACAGCCUUAGUUGGAAAAUUCUAUCCCAUCCUCCAUUACCAUCAGACAACACCUUUUUUCGCACUGGAAAAUCAUAUGCACAACUGAUAGUUUUGAAACUGAGCAGCACUGGCAACAGGAUUGAAGGAUUUCUUCACUUCUAAAAAUUGGGACUUUUCCCAAUUUUUAGGAGUGGUAUUUACAAACUUGUGUCUCGUUGAAAUUAGGCUGUACAUUGUGAUGGUGCUAACUUUACUGAAUAAAAUAUCUUCAUUCACUUUUUACCUCAAAACCACACAAACUUUUUUGGUCACCUGAUAAUUAUUAACAAAUACCAAUAUAAAAAUUGCCAAUAAAAGUCAGUAUUCAUCUAGAUUAUUGAUAACAAUAAAUUUUAGUUUAAGUUUGAUAUAUUAGUUAUUGACACAGCACUAUUGAUAAUUUUCUGUAUUCAAUAUUUUUCGGUAUUUAUUGAAAUUUACCAAUUAUCAAUAUAAUAAAGAAAUCUCUGUAUCAAACCCAAUAUUGAUAUAGCACUGACCUACUAAAGUCCCAUGCUGCUACUUUGUCACGGCACCUCUGCAAAUGAAACCCACAAUAUUGAGAUGCUAACAGCAGUAACAGUGCAUGCAAUUUUGCCUCUGAUAGUUGCCUGCCAAUGGUACAGGAAGAAUCAAAUAACAAGUAUACUAAGAAUUAUGAACACAGUCUCUGUGAGCCUUUUUAUAGAAUAAUGGGAAAGAAAUUUUAAGGCCAUCUGGCUGCUUACCCAGCAUGCAAUCAGAUCUUGACUGUAAUUAUUUACAUACCUGUCUAAGACAUAUCUGGAUGUUGAGUUUUGUAAUAAUUGGUCAAUUCUAUCUGGGUAUAUAGCUUUUUUUGUCAAUGAGUAUAUUUAUUUAGAUUCUAUAAAUUACUGAUAAGAAUUGAAUUACAAUAAAAGUAAUAAAGUUUUGAAAAGUUUAUUUCAUUACCUG